CAGCACCAGGCAUGACUCAACAAGUCACAUGGAGAGUAAAGUCGUGACACGAGAGACCGUCAGAUUCCGUGUGGUACUGGAGCAGAAAUAAAAGUUUUCGGAUGUCACUGGAGUUCUCUUUCAGAGAUAGAAAGGGGUCAUCAAGCAGACGUCGGCAGUCGGGCUGAGAGAGAUCAAAGAGGCCAUCAACAUCAGAUGCCACAGGCGGGGUUAUGAUCUGCCUUCAUAUAUGACCACAUAAAUCUCCAUGACAACUGAGAGCUGUGGCAGAAGGCUACAGAGAUAGUUAAGAUGACUUUUAUACGACGCUUUGAAAUGAACAGUUUGUUACUGAAUGAUGACAAAAUAGAAAUAGAUUAUUUUAUUAGGUGAUGUUUGUGUAUCAUUCGACUUCUACAAUGAAGUAUUUGUGAAACUUAAAAUGUACA